UGAACAUUGAGCCUUGAUGUGUAGGAUAGGUGGGAGGCUUUGAAGUGUGGACGCCAGUCUGCAUGGAGCCGACCUUGAAAUACCACCCUUUAAUGUUUGAUGUUCUAACGUUGACCCGUGAUCCGGGUUGCGGACAGUGUCUGGUGGGUAGUUUGACUGGGGCGGUCUCCUCCUAAAGAGUAACGGAGGAGCACGAAGGUUGGCUAAUCCUGGUCGGACAUCAGGAGGUUA
rnacentral:rRNA from 1 species